ensembl:rRNA 5S_rRNA 5S ribosomal RNA
GUCUACAGCCAUACCACCCUGAAUGCGCUUGAUCUUGUCUGAUCUCGGAAGCUAACCAGGGUCGGGCCUGGUUAGUACUUGGAUGUGAGAGUGUUAUUAAAUAAUUAAUUACAUAAUAAAAACCAGAAUAAGGAAACA